CUGUCCACGAGUCUGAAGAUACUAUCAGACCUGAACCCCUGCUUGGCUGAGGCGGUGAGUUCACCAUGCCUCAAACGCGGUGGCGUGCUAUCGUGGCAAUUUCUCUCAGGUGACUCCUCAGUUUCCCUUGUUCCUAUUGUUAUCUGGUAGCACUAUUGCAAUUGGUUGGAAUGAAUUUUCGAGUAGGCUCUAGCCUUUUCUUCUAAAGCUCAGUGUUUGCUUUGCUGAAUACAUUAUAUUUUCUUCUUUUUCGAGGAUAACGAGGAGCACUAAACAACAGCAGUGACCUUCUCAUCUUCGACUCCCAUGUGUUUGGGGUUGGUCGGAUCAAGUUGGUGCAUUGGAGGAUGAGACGUUUCUGAGGAUUAAUCGAUUAAGCAGCGAGGACAGGGAUACAACUCCCUCGCUGCCCACCUGGCUAUGCAGCUUGGGCAGCUUUGGCGUCCAAGUUCUCGCAGCUGUUGCUGCCACUUCGCCUGCGGGCUGUGUCGCUCUUCUUGUGAUGUCCAGCAGUCGUUCUCGCAGCUGUUGCUGCCACUUCGCCUGCGGGGGCUGUGUCGCUCUUCUUGUGAUGUCGAGCAGCCACUUGUUGUGAUGCUCCUGGUUGAGGAGUUCGUAAUAGCAGUCUAACUGCCCCUCCAUUAGCUGGAAGUUUGAUUCUUAGCCUAGCCGUUUGCACUUAUAUAUUGUAGUAUGUUGUUUGACCUGUGAUCUGGAGCGUCUGAACAUGUGUAAAGGUCCUGGCAAUUUUUCUGUGAAUGUUGGUAGUUAAA